rnacentral:rRNA from 1 species
GUGUCAGCAGCCGCGGUAAGACGUAGGAGGCGAGCGUUAUCCGGAUUCACUGGGCGUAAAGCGCAUGUAGGCGGUUGCACAAGUCCGUUGUUAAAGCCCCUGGCUCAACUGGGGGAGGUCAAUGGAGACUGUGCGACUUGAGGGCAGUAGAGGCACGUGGAACUCCCGGUGUAGCGGUGGAAUGCGUAGAGAUCGGGAAGAACACCAGUGGCGAAGGCGACGUGCUGGGCUGCAACUGACGCUGAGAUGCGAAAGUGUGGGGAGCAAACGGGAUUAGAUACCCCGGUAGUCC